UUGUCCGCUCGAGCAGAGCAAGGGAUUCGUCAGGUGGCGGCGGCUCGCGAGUACGAGCUCGACGGCGGCUGAGCAUCGUCGGCUACGGGAGUUCGAGACUCGCGAGUACGAGUACCCACAUGGGUCUGUAGAUUGAGAGAGCAGUCAGGCGGCGGCGACUCGCGAGUACGAGCUCGACGGCGGCUGAGCAUCGUCGGGUUCGGGAGUUGGAGAGGAUGAGGGGGAGGCGGCGGCGCGGCGGGCGCCUGGAGUCUCGGCAUCCGACCUCAGGUCCAAGCUGCCGACGGAGGCUGUUGCGCCGCGAGCACGCUGAGCCUGAGGUAGCUGGACGACGGCCACAGCGAUGCACGAGGAGGCGAGCCCGAGGCGGUGGGUGGCGGCGGAUCCAGUCAUGCUCCUCCUGAAUUCCCCGUCGUCGUGCUACCGAGGGCGUCUUCACCCAGAUCUCCUCACGCCGGUGCGCAUGGCGACUCCUGCCGCUGGUUCCGCCUGCCGGUCGCGACGACGUAAACGAACAGAGCAUGUGCUCGCGGCGGAGGAUGCUCUCUCGCUCCCGCGGAACGCUUGCCUCGCCCGCCGCCACGGACAAGAGGGAGUAUUUCUUUAUGUAAUUGGCAAGCGCUGGUGGAAAGUGACAACAGAAGUUUUCUUGCUAUUGCGUCAGGCAACAAAAUGGAGCAUAUUCCAGAAGGAUUUAUUUUGCACAUAAAAGUGAUGGCUUGGGCCUUCGGCACCAUGGCGGCAUCAGUUUGCACGUUGUCGCUCCACUUGUAUUGCUGGUUGCAAAGAAAGGUGCGAACAGUCCAUUAGGAGGUGAAACUUAAGCACUAUAUAGUGAAAAUUUCCCUAGCAUUGUGCGAGCUGCUGCUGUUGCAUUUAAAUCGGUUUGUCCAAAUCGACAGUCCGAGGCUCCAAUCGAUGCAGUCGCGACCCCGCCUCUUAUCAGCUCACCACCCAACCAGUUACACUCAGUUAUGUGACAGUUUUGAUUCAUUCUACAGAAUUAUUGGAACUCUGGAAUGACCAAAUCCCAAUUCUGCUUCAAAGGUGAGUACUGCACGAGCAAGUCAAAUUUAUUGGGACGUAGAAGAGGCAGCAAGCACAUCUAGCAGCCAGAGACAAGCAACAGUUUGUUCCCCAACAGCAACAGCAAUCCUGUUUUGUCUGGCGAAUAGUGGCGAUGGCAUCAUCCACGUCUGUCGAACUGGUGGACACUUACAGCAGAUCAGUAUUCGAGCUGAAAGGAGGCACUUAGGUUAGGAAACACCCAAGAUUUGACUCGCAGUACUAACAGAAGGAAAGAUACAUUUAUCAGAAUAGAAAUACAUUUAUCAUUUAAAAGCAAGGUAUGUUACAUAUUUGUUUUCAGUGAUUAAGACAUGGCUGGGGGAAACUCAAUAAGUAAACUUACAAAGAAAGAGACCAUUAUCAUUUUGGCGUGUAAUAUGUUUCCUUUCAUUAAUAUGUGAGUACACCUGUAUCAAGCCGUCCAAAUAAUAAAAGACAAAAAAUUAUUAGUGUGAGACAAUUGGUAAACCUACAUAUAUGUAAAUUAUCCGAUUAGGAAUCUAUUGAAAAUAGAUCAUUCAUAUCAUAAAUAACCAACAUGCAUUGGUUUUAUGCAUGUUAUUAGUUGCGGUCGUUCAUAAUUGUAUUAUUAUUAGUUCCGAAUUCAAAUUUCGAAAAAACAUUGCAUCCAAAAAAAUUGUUACCAGGUGUUCAUCCUAUAUACAUCUACCUAAAAUAGGCUAGCCCGUGCGAAGGCACGGGCUGACGACUAGUUGCUACUAAAUAAGGAUCUUGGCCGAGAGAAUCUAGAGUAUGGUGUAUGGUCUAGAAAAAGAGCAAGAGUGCACUCGAGCAUGAUUAGGGGGAGGUAUGUUCGGGGCGGAGGCCACAGGGGGGAGCUAUGCCUGGCUGGAUGACCAUAAAGGGCGAGGGCGAAUUCCUUCUUUUAAGUAUAAACAUAUACUCCCUUUGUUCACUAAUACAAAAUGUUUUGGAUAUUUUAGUAUGAACUACUUACAGGAAUGAGUGAACAAAACACUCUAAAACGUGUCUAUAUACACUUGAUUCAGAAAAAGUUAGAACAUCUUAUAAUGGUUAAUGGAGGGAGUACUUAGAGAAUAAAAUCCUUCCCUAGCUAAUGGUGGAUCAACAACACUGAGUUUGAAGAGAUAGAGGAAUUAUUUGAUCCUGCACAUUGGAGCAUACGAAGGAAGCAUCGACACCAAUAUGCUUGGUGAGCUAUGUUGCACGGAAUCAUGCACAGUACUGAUAUCACAUCUAAAUAGACAAGACUCCCAACAAGAUGAUGAUAGCGCGUCAGACCAAACAAAGGUGGAUGUUGAGCUCCAUGGGAGUUUCAUGCCACUUGAGAGGAUGAAGGCUCUAGCAACAUCGUGCGAGAGGCAUCGGCGCUAGCGAGUUUGCCACCAUCCUAGCCACGACGACAAUGCCGCACAGCAUAUAGUAGGAAAGUGGAGCGACAAUGCCGCGGGAGGAGGUGCACUCGAACGGGGGGCACUGCACUGCAGUCUGUUUCAUCUUUCGGGCAAGUGCCAGGCAGAUAAACAAGGCUUGCAACAAAAUGUCGAUAAAGCGCCAUAUCAGACAGUAGGUCAACAUCACUAGCAGGGAGGUGAACAUUAAGCUCCAUGGGAGUCUCAACAUGCGCUCAUUAGUAAGAGCAGCACGAGUAAGAAGAUCCUAAAUUAUUACUUUUGAGCAAGAAGGGACCUCAAUCCCAAGAAAGUAGCAGAGAGGGCCAAGAUAAGACAUAAGAAAGUGGGAGCAAAAACGAAGUGACUUAGAAUGAGAACGUGGUAUGAAAUGUCUAGAUGAGUGACAUCUAAAUAGACAAGACUCCCAACAAGAUGAUGAUAGCGCGUCAGAUCAAACAAAGGUGGAUGUUGAGCUCCAUGGGAGUUUCAUGCCACUUGAGAGGAUGAAGGCUCUAGCAACAUCGUGCGAGAGGCAUCGGCGCUAGCGAUUUUGCCACCAUCCUAGCCAUGACGACAAUGCCGCGGAGCAUAUAGUAGGAAAGUGGAGCGAUGACGCCGCGGGAGGAGGUGCACUCGAACGGGGGGCACUGCACUGUAGUCUGUUUCUUUCGGGCAAGUGCCAGGCAGAUAAAAAGGCUUGUAACAAAAUGUCGAUGAAGCGCCAGAUCAGACAGUAGGUCAACAUCACUACCAGGGAGGUGAACAUUGAGCUCCAUGGGAGUCUCAACAUGCGCUCAUUAGUAAGAGCAGCGCGAGUCAGAAGAUCCUAAAUUAUUACUUUUGAGCAGGAAGGGACCUCAAUCCCAAGAAAGUAGCAGAGAGGGCCAAGAUAAGACAUAAGAAACUGCAUACUAAGACAUGCCUUAACAAAGGCAAAUAUACUCAUGGUCUGCGUCAGUGAUGAUCAUGUCAUCAAUAUAUAGAAGAAGAGUCCUACCAGGAGCAGAAAGGAGGACAAACAACGUUGGAUCAUGAGCACUCGAUGAAAACCAACAACAACCACCAUAGAGGCAAAACGCUCAAACCAGGUGUGAGGGGCUUGCUUAGAGCCAUAGUGAGCGAUGAAGACGACAAAUCAUGUCGUAAGGAGUAGAAUACCCAGUGGUGGUUGUAUGUAAACCUCCUCACGCAACUCACCAUUAAGAAAUGCAUUCUUAACAUCAAGCCUAGACACAGAUCAGUGGCGAACAGAGGCCAUAAUAAGAAGUGUGCGAACAGUGGUCAAAGAAAGUCUCAUCGUAAUCAGGACCAUGCUCGUGCUGAAAGCCAUGACCCACAACACGAGCUUUGUAACGCCCAAGAGAACCAUUAGAGUGAGUCCUAACCUUGUAGACCCACAAAGUGAUGGGAUGAACACGAGGAGGAACAUACACAAUAUCCCACGUGCCGAUGCGCUCAAGAGCAGCAGUCUCCUCUGCCAUCACAAGGUGCCAUUUGGUAUGAACAACAUCACAGUAAGAAGUUGGCUCAAGAACAGCAUCGCCAACGCUUGGAAGACAUUGGCGGUCAACAUGCCAAAGCGGACGAGGACGCAAGCCAUAAGUAGGCUGAAAUGGGGAAGAUGGCACAUCGGUAGACGCAUCCACAACACGUAGAUGUCCUAUAUAGAAGUUAGGAAAAGAUGGAAGAAUACGAGCUGGAAUCAUCGGGAUAAACUUAGGUGAUGGAGACAAGGAAGCCACCAGUGAUGAAGGUGUAGAAUCAUGUGAUAAGUGAGGUGAGGAAAUCAUAGGAGAUGAUGGCGUUGGUUCUACAAUAAUCAGAGAAGAGUGUCGGGAAAACUGUGGAAAGAGAUAUACUCCACUUAAAAGGCCGAAGAAGAUGGACUCAACAAAAGUCACAUCCCAAGAAGUAGGCAUCCGAUGACCAACAUGAUCCCAACAACAAUAUCCCUUAUGCUCAUCGUUGUAUCCUAAGAAGACACACUCAACAGACUGACAAGUUAGUUUGGGCGUUCACGAGGGG